AAAUGAGAGAUCUUCUCCUUACCUGCUCAUGGUCUCCAUUUUUAGGAACACUUUCUGUUUUGUGAAAUGCUCAUAAGUCUUAUCAGAAACUAGAUCCUCUUAAUUUUGCUCAUUAGUCAUUAUCCUUUUGCAUUUCGCGAGGAAAUAUAUCGCAUGACUUCUAGCUACGUUCAUCGUUCUUUGACAUCGUGAACUAUGCUUAUUGUGCUUUUUAACAUUGGUUGCAUCCUUUACGGCCAUCACAGUGGAAAUUCUUACUUGCUGAACUCAAGCUUUUAUUGAUGUUAGUUGUGUACUCUUGCAACUAAGGGGAUAUUUGAUUCGUGACCAGAAUCAAAAUUAGAAUAGACUGAAAUAGGAAUCAAAAUGAUCAAAUUUCUGAAAGGGUUUGAUUCAUGAUCGGAAUCGGAAGAGGAAUGAAAAUUGGAUCCAUGGAGGGGAGUAGAGAUUAAAUUUUAAAUAGAUUAGGUCUUUUCUAUUCCACUCAUGAAUUGAAAUUGGAAUGGGACUCCUCCCAACCAAACGACUUAAAUGGAAGACUAAUUCCGAUUCUUAAUCCAGACUUCCAUUCUCCCUAACCAAGCACCUCCUAAUAGACAGUUGAUAAUGUGUUCCUUGUUUAAUCAAUGCCAACUUAAUAUAGAUUUUAUGCCCAAAGCUGAAAAUAUUCUACUACUAAUAUUAAAUUAAAGGCCCAACAGAAGCCAACAAUGCUAGUGGCUCUGCCACAGAUAUCAUAAUUGCGGGG
rnacentral:lncRNA from 1 species